CUAGAUCUAAAUUGUUUCGAUUCUCUUGUUGAAUCUAUUUCUGGUCUUCGGGCUAGACCUGACUUCGAUCUUCUGGCUAGAUCUUCUUCGAUCUUCUGGCUAGAUCUAUCUAUUUUUCGGUCUUCGGGCUAGACCUGACUUUGAUCUUCUGGCUAGAUCUGGAUUGUUUUGAUGAUAAAUUCCCAUCAUCAGGAUCUCGCGUCUGGGGCAUGCG
rnacentral:lncRNA from 1 species